rnacentral:rRNA from 1 species
GUGUUACAAUGGCAGGUACAGAGGGGUGCUACCGGGUGACCGGAUGCCGAUCUCGAAAACCUGUCCCAGUUCGGACUGGAGUCUGCAACCCGACUCCACGAAGUUGGAUUCGCUAGUAAUCGCGCAUCAGCCAUGGCGCGGUGAAUACGUUCCCGGGCCUUGUACACACCGCCCGUCAAGCCAUGGGAGCCGGGGGCGCCUGAAGUCCGGGACCGCGAGGACCGGCCUAAGGCGAAACUGGUGACUGGGGCUAAGUCGUAACAAGGUACC